ensembl:lncRNA
CCCAACAAGACGUAAUCAUAAACUUUUCAUUCUCUGUGAACUGGACCAAAAAUUUAAAUAUAAAAAAGGGAUGGGGUGGCUGAAAUCAGCAAGUGAAGCAAGUUUAAAAAAGAAAAGAAAUGAAAAGGCCUAAAGGUGCACCAUUUGCAUUUAAUAGAUAGUGUCGGAGAGAGAAAAGGAAUGAGAGCGAGGUAACGAGGUAACAAAUUAUAUCGUUUUCCCCUCUGGUGAAACUAAGCAUUGUUUCUAGUUGUUCUGGUUCUAAAACUGCAGACAUAAGCAGAGGAAUGAAAACGAGAAACACGUUUUUGCUUAUUUAUGCAUAUUUAGGAACAGCUGCAUUAAAAAUCUGGUUAACACAAAUGUUCAUUCAGAAUCAUCAACUACGGAACCGACCAGUAAAAAAAACGAUAAAAUCUUUAUUUGUUAAAAGACUAAAAUCGAAAGUCAAGCUUUUCUUUUAAAUAGUUUGAUUCAAACAGAUAUUCUUUGACUCUGUGAUGUGUGCUUACUUUAAAAGCUUUUACCUCUAAACGGCAUCUAUUGCACAGAAGGUGAAAUUGAAACAUGAAAGAAAACAAUUACUGUGGAAGUUAUCAUUUCCAGCAACAGAAACCGCUGAGUCACAGUGUGGAGGAAUAAAAAAAAAACAAAAGUAAAAAGAAGGUCACAAUAAAAAAAGAGAGAGAAUAAAGAAAAGAGACGUUGGCAUCACUGUCCUUGACUAACAUUAAUAAGGCUCAUUGACUGGCGCUGAAGUGGUUUUGGAAAGAAAAAGAGGAGGAGGAAGAAAGCUGAGGAUACAAAGACGACUGAAACAGAUGGAGGCAAAAGAAAGAAAGCUGUCACUGAUCAUCAGGUCAGCACAGCACUCCAGAAACAUGUCACUGUUGGCCUGUUCCUUCAGACUCAGUCUCAGGGGUGCCAAAAACAAAAACAAUUUUUGUCAUAUUUUUGGACAAACCUGAGUAGAGUAGGCAUUUCUUUAUGGUCUCAUUUACUCCUUGUCAAC